CCUACGGGUGGCUGCAGUGGGGAAUAUUGGACAAUGGGGGCAACCCUGAUCCAGCAAUGCCGCGUGAGUGAUGAAGGCCUUCGGGUUGUAAAGCUCUUUUGUCAGGGACGAUGAUGACGGUACCUGACGAAUAAGCUCCGGCUAACUUCGUGCCAGCAGCCGCGGUAAUACGAAGGGAGCUAGCGUUGUUCGGAAUUACUGGGCGUAAAGGGCGCGUAGGCGGUCUUAUAAGUUUGGUGUGAAAGCCCUGGGCUUAACCUGGGAACUGCAUUGGA
rnacentral:rRNA from 1 species